AGAGUUUGAUCAUGGCUCAGAAUCAACGCUGGCGGCGUGCCUAACACAUGCAAGUCGAACGAGAAAGGGGAGCAAUCCCUGAGUAAAGUGGCGACCGGGUGAGUAACACGUGACUAACCUACCUCCGAAUGGGGAAUAACUCCGGGAAACCGGGGCUAAUACCGCAUAACACCGCAAGGUCAAAGCAGCAAUGCGUUUGGAGAGGGGGUCGCGGCUGAUUAGCUAGUUGGCGGGGUAACGGCCCACCAAGGCGAAGAUCGGUAUCCGGCCUGAGAGGGCGCACGGACACACUGGAACUGAAACACGGUCCAGACUCCUACGGGAGGCAGCAGUGGGGAAUUUUGCGCAAUGGGGGAAACCCUGACGCAGCAACGCCGCGUGGAGGAUGAAGCCCUUUGGGGCGUAAACUCCUUUCGACUCGGACGAUAAUGACGGUACGAGUGGAAGAAGCACCGGCUAACUCUGUGCCAGCAGCCGCGGUAAUACAGAGGGUGCAAGCGUUGUUCGGAAUUAUUGGGCGUAAAGGGCGCGUAGGCGGUGCGGUAAGUCACCUGUGAAAUCUCCAGGCUUAACUUGGAGUCUGCAGGCGAAACUGCCGUGCUGGAGUGUGGGAGAGGUGCGUGGAAUUCCCGGUGUAGCGGCGAAAUGCGUAGAUAUCGGGAGGAACACCUGUGGCGAAAGCGGCGCACUGGACCACAACUGACGCUGAGGCGCGAAAGCUAGGGGAGCAAACAGGAUUAGAUACCCUGGUAGUCCUAGCCCUAAACGAUGAUUGCUUGGUGUAGCCCGGUACCCAAUCCGGCUGUGCCGCAGCUAACGCGAUAAGCAAUCCGCCUGGGGAGUACGGUCGCAAGGCUGAACUCAAAGGAAUUGACGGGGGCCCGCACAAGCGGUGGAGCAUGUGGUUCAAUUCGACGCAACGCGAAGAACCUUACCUGGGCUCG
rnacentral:rRNA from 1 species